rnacentral:misc_RNA from 1 species
GUGAAUCAUCGAAUUUUUGAACGCAAAUUGCGCUUUCUGGUAUUCCGGGGAGUAUGCCUGUUUGAGGGUCAGUAAUAAUAAAAAAUGGGUUGAGUUAGAAGUUGUGAUGUUUUUGGAGUUUGGGCUGUCUUAACAUUUUUGGUUAAGAGGCUUAAAAUUGUCUUUUUUUGAGCAUUUUUAAAUGUUCAUAAAUUUUUUUUAUUCG